rnacentral:rRNA from 1 species
AGUCGAACGGUCCGCAAGGACAGUGGCAGACGAGGUAGUAACACGUAGGUACUCCCCCCGAAGUCUGGUAUAGCUCGUCGAAAGACGGGGUAAUCCCAGAUGGUCCCGAAAGGGUAAAGAUUUAUCGCUUCGGGAGAGGCCUGCGUAAUAUCAGCUUGUUGGUAGGGUAAUGGCCUACCAAGGCUACGACGUUUAGGGGAGCUGAGAGGCUGACCCCCACCGAUGGGACUGAGACACGGCCCAUACUCCUACGGGAGGCCGCAGUCGAGAAUCUUCCGCAAUGGACGAAAGUCUGACGGAGCGACGCCGCGUGGUAGACGAAGUACUUCGGUACGUAAAUACCUUUUAUGAGGGACGAAAUUAUUGACGGUACCUCAUGAAUAAGGGGCUCCUAACUCUGUGCCAGCAGGAGCGGUAAUACAGAGGCCCCAAGCAUUAUCCGGAAUCACUGGGCGUAAAGGGUGUCAAGGCGGCUAUAUUAGUCGUUCGUUAAAUCCGUGGGCUCAACCUACGGUCUGCGAGCGAAACGGUAUAACUAGAGGUCAGGAGAGGUGCAUGGAACUCAUGGUGUAGGGGUGAAAUCCGUUGAUAUCAUGGGGAACACCAAAGGCGAAGGCAGUGCACUGGCCUGAAUCUGACGCUCACACACGAAAGCCAGGGUAGCGAACGGGAUUAGAUACCCCGGUAGUCCUGGCCCUAAACGUUGCUCGCUCGUUCUACGGAGUAUCGACCCUCUGUGGGACUAAGCUAACGCGGUAAGCGAGCCGCCUGGGUAGUACGAUCGCAAGAUUAAAACUCAAAGGAAUAGACGGGGACUCGCACAAGCGGUGGAUCAUGUGGCUUAAUU